CAGAGGGCGCAGUGGGUGGUAGUAUUAUAUUCAGAGGGUACAGGAUGUGGCGGUAUUAUAUUCAGGGGUACAAUAUGUGGCAAAUUUAUAUUCAGGGGUACAGUAUGUGACAGAUUUAUAUUCAGGGGUACAGUAUGUGGCAGAUUUAUAUUCAGGGGUACAGUAUGUGGCAGAUUUAUAUUCAGAGGGUACAGUAUGUGGCAGAUUUAUAUUCAGAGGGUACAGUAUGUGGCAGAUUUAUAUUCAGAGGGCACAGUAUGUGGCAGAUUUAUAUUCAGAGGGUACAGUAUGUGGUAGUAUUAUAUUCAGUGGGUACAGUGUGUGGCGGUAUUAUAUUCAGGGGUACAGUAUGUGGCAGAUUUAUAUUCAGAGGGUACAGUAUGUGUUGGUAUUCAGAAUGUACAGUGUGUGGUAGUAUUAUAUUCAGAGGGUACAGUGUAUGGAAGGUUUAUAAUCAAAGAGUAUAGUAGUAUUAUAUUUAGAAGAUACAGUGUCUCUCAGGUUUAUAAUAAUAAUUGUUUUCAUAUAGAGGAUGAGAAUGCGCUGACAUAGUGAGGAGACGUGUGGGCAUCACAUUCUGCAGAGAGAAGUUUUAGCUGGAACAAGUCCUGGCGCAGGUUCCUCCUUAUCAUCACAAACAGGAUUACAGUGGAAGGUGACACCAGUGUAUAGAUAACAGUGAUAGCGGAGGUCAACUCAAAAGUAAGAAGACAUCCAUAUAAAAUAUAGACAAAAUGUCAGACGGUAAUCCGAUUUUAGACUUAAGCUAAGGGGAAAACCUGUUGGGGCAUGUCACCAACACGGUGGCCAUCUUGCUAGCGGCCAUCUUGGAUUCAACUUCAGUCUUUUAAAUGGGAAGGAGAAGCUGCCUCCAACCUUGGACCGUGUAUAGGAUAACAAUGCCCCAGCGUCACAAAGUGAUAAGGCUCAGAUAAAAAAAUAAUAUAUAUAUAUACCGCUACGCACGCUGCUCCUAUUGGAUGACGGGACGGCGUGCGCAGCAACGUGAUGACGACAGUGGAGAGCCCUGACGAUGGAGGGGAUCCCGAAGAGGACGUGCCGGAGCCCCGAGGACAGUUUUCUGUAAAUAAUUUGACUGUAAUUAAAAAAAAUAAUGAAGAGAUGUGAUCCCCGGCUCCAGGGGACAGUAUGGAGGAUUUCUUACACCUAAGGUGUCAAAAAUGUCAGCUCUGCCCAUCACACUGAAAAUACAGACAGCAAAGCCAACUGGCUCCCCCCUACUCCUACCCCCAGCAGACACACAAUGACUCCACUACUUGGUUGUGGCAACAUAUCAACAAAUCCAAUUGACUCCAAUGUAAUCAUGUCAUCCAAAAUUGUGUGAUAACAAAAUAAAAAUAAA